GAUGAACGCUGGCGGCGUGCCUAAUACAUGCAAGUAGAACGCUGAAGGAAGGAGCUUGCUCUUUCCGGAUGAGUUGCGAACGGGUGAGUAACGCGUAGGUAACCUGCCUGGUAGCGGGGGAUAACUAUUGGAAACGAUAGCUAAUACCGCAUAACAGUAGAUGUUGCAUGAUAUCUAUUUAAAAGGUGCAAUUGCACCACUACCAGAUGGACCUGCGUUGUAUUAGCUAGUUGGUGAGGUAACGGCUCACCAAGGCGACGAUACAUAGCCGACCUGAGAGGGUGAACGGCCACCCUGAGAAUGGGACACGGCCCAGAGUCCAACGGGGGGGAGCAGUAGGGAUUCUUCGGGAAGGGACGGGAAGCAGGCCGAGAAGCGCCGAGUGAGGGAGAAAGAAUCUCGGAUCGUAAAGCUCGGUUGUAAGGGGAGAACGAGUGUGAAAGUGGAAAGUUCACACUGUGACGGUAUCUGAUCAGAAAGAGACGGCUAACUACGUG
rnacentral:rRNA from 1 species